rnacentral:rRNA from 1 species
AUGUAACAAGGUCUCCGUUGGUGAACCAGCGGAGGGAUCAUUGCUGGAAGCGUCUCACGGCGCACCCAGAAACCCUAUGUGAACCUAUACCUCUCUGUUGCCUCGGCGCCGGCCGGGGGCUUCUAUAAGCCCCCCCUCCUCGUGAGGAGCAGGUCCGCCGACGGCCCUACAAACUCUUGUUUUUAUAACCCGUCUCUUCUGAGUACAAAACAUAAAUGAAUCAAAACUUUCAACAACGGAUCUCUUGGUUCUGGCAUCGAUGAAGAACGCAGCGAAAUGCGAUAAGUAAUGUGAAUUGCAGAAUUCAGUGAAUCAUCGAAUCUUUGAACGCACAUUGCGCCCGCUGGUAUUCCAGCGGGCAUGCCUGUUCGAGCGUCAUUUCAACCCUCAAGCCCUGCUUGGUGUUGGGGCGCUGCCGCUCCCUUUCGGGGAGAGGCAGGCCCUGAAAUUUAGUGGCGAGCUCGCCAGGACUCCGAGCGUAGUAGUUUACAACCUCGCUUAGGAAGGACUGGUGAUGCCCUGCCGUAAAACCCCCCAAUUUCUGAAAAGUUGACCUCGGAUCAGGUAGGAAUACCCGCUGAACUUAAGCAUAUCAU